UUAAAUAUUUCUUGUUUUAUUUGUAUGCUGCCGGCUGCCGGUACUAUAUUUUGUACCUACGUUUAUUUUCUUAUUUAUAGAUAGUUCAGGCUUAGUUUCCAUUUUCUGCAAAUGAUUUAUAAUUAAGCUAAGUUCGAGUGCUAGGUUGCAUGUAUGCAUAAGCGAGUGCGAUUGAGUGAAGGGAAAGAUUUGCUUUGCGAUUCCGGCAAUCGGCGCGGGAUCGCUGAAUUGACUGAGGGGAUUGAACCGCCGGAGCUCGUGGUCUGAGCUCGUGGUGUCAAAUUGCCCAUCAGAAGGCCGGCGGAGGCGGAAUUGAAGUGGAAAGGUGGCGCGGCGGAGCUAGGGUUCUGCAGUGUUUGAUUCGAAUUCUGGUAUCAAAUCGACGCUGGAUCGAGAAAUUGAUUGAGGGGUUUUGUUGACAGAAUCGAGAGGAGUAUGGCCGUGGCUCCGAUUCAGACUACGAUAGCCGGAGUUGCAAUGUCGCCGGCGACGGGUGGGCAUCAAUUGUAGCGGUGACUUCAAGUACAUCGUCUUCAAUAUUUUUCCCACGAUGCCAAACGUCGAUACAACGAAGCACGUUCAGUUAAGGAAUCCAUACCUAUCAUCAUCGUAUGAGCUUUAGGCGUUUGCUCAUAAUUUUACUGUUACUGUCGCAAUUUGUUCAUCCAUCCUUCUACCAUUGCCUUGAGGCGUUGAUCUUGUAGCUAGCAACUCAUAACCAGUUAUUGUUUUUUUGACAGAGUGAUAUUUUAGAAGACAAGGGUGAUAUUGAAGAUUUUAUUAAAAAAAAAAAAAGAAAAACAAAUAUCGCUUGUGUGGGGCUCAAGCCCCUUCCACGCCACUUCAUAACUUUAAUUUUGCUUUGAUGUUCAUUGGUUCAUCCUUUUUUUGUCUCACAUCUCCAA